rnacentral:lncRNA from 1 species
UUUAGGGAAUUCAGGCAACAGUGUUCGUGGUAAAAGACCUCAAUUUUAAGUCAUGGUGACACUACUAACUUGCUUUGUGACCUCAGGCAAGUCACAAACUCUGCAAAUUGGGUCUCCUAAACUGUAAAAAGUUGAAGAAUGGACUAGAAAAGCUCCGGUGUGUGUUGAUUAGGUGGGCUGGAGUACUUAGGAGAUGCUUCAGGAAGAUGAUUGGCACUUAAAGAGUUAAGAUUUGGAUAACUAGAAAGGAGGUGUGAGAAUAUUUCAAACAUGACGAAGGAGCAACAUCAGCAGAACAGAAAUACAUCAGUUGUGGUCAUGGGCAGCUGUGCUCGUGGGGGUGUGCCUUCACUCUUUAUCUGACCUUCUUCUGGAUACAGCAAACACUUGUGGACCAGCUGCACUGAAGCAUUAAACAAGGUUGGUAAGUUACCAAGAAGCACACAAACCCUGUAACUUGAGCUGUGGAAAGUUAGACAUGCAAUACAAGAGGACUAACAUUAGAUUAACAUGCCUAUUCUGGUGAGUGAAUACAUCUACAAUCAAUUUUGAAAGGGCUAAAAUCUCACUAAAUUAACAGAAAUGAUGUGAAAAAAAUAUGAUGACAUACUAUGUCUUCUGAU